rnacentral:rRNA from 1 species
GAUGAACGCUGGCGGCGUGCUUAACACAUGCAAGUCGAACGAUGAAGCUCAGCUUGCUGGGUGGAUUAGUGGCGAACGGGUGAGUAACACGUGAGUAACCUGCCCUUAACUCUGGGAUAAGCCUGGGAAACUAGGUCUAAUACCGGAUAGGAGCGCCUACCGCAUGGUGGGUGCUGGAAAGAUUUAUCGGUUUUGGAUGGCUUCGCGGCCUAUCCGCUUGUUGGUGGGGUAGUGGUUCACCAAGGCGACGACGGGUAUCCGACCUGAGAGGGUGACCGGCCACACUGGGACUGAGAGACGGCCCAGACUCCUACGGGAGGCAGCAGUGGGGAAUAUUACACAAUGGGCGAGAGCCUGAUGCAGCGACGCCGCGUGAGGGAUGACGGCCUUCGGGUUGUAAACCUCUUUCAGUAGGGAAGAAGCGAAAGUGACGGUACCUGCAGAAGAAGCACCGGCUAACUACGUG